rnacentral:rRNA from 1 species
AAUGAACGUUGGCGGCGUGGAUUAGGCAUGCAAGUCGGACGGGCCGCGAGGCCAGUGGCGUAAGGGUGAGUAAGGCGACGGCAAUCAUCCCCACGGUUGGGUAUAGCCGCGACGAAAUCGCGGGGUAAUCCCCAGGCGACGCGCGGCGUCGGCAUCGACGCCCCGCCAAAGGCUCGCCGCCGUGGGACGAGCCGUCGUGGUAUUAGGUCGUUGGC